rnacentral:rRNA from 1 species
UACGAAGGGGGCUAGCGUUGUUCGGAAUUACUGGGCGUAAAGCGCGCGCAGGCGGUCCUUUAAGUCAGGGGUGAAAGCCCAGAGCUCAACUCUGGAACUGCCUUUGAAACUAGAGGACUUGGGUACGGGAGAGGUAAGUGGAAUUCCGAGUGUAGAGGUGAAAUUCGUAGAUAUUCGGAAGAACACCAGUGGCGAAGGCGGCUCACUGGCCCGUUACCGACGCUCAGGCGCGACAGCGUGGGGAGCAAACAGG